CCUACGGGCGGCAGCAGUGAGGAAUAUUGGUCAAUGGACGAGAGUCUGAACCAGCCAAGUAGCGUGAAGGAUGACUGCCCUAUGGGUUGUAAACUUCUUUUAUAUGGGAAUAAAAUGUUCCACGUGUGGGAUUUUGUAUGUACCAUAUGAAUAAGGAUCGGCUAACUCCGUGCCAGCAGCCGCGGUAAUACGGAGGAUCCGAGCGUUAUCCGGAUUUAUUGGGUUUAAGGGGAGCGCAGGUGGAUUGUUAAGUCAGUUGUGAAAGUUUGCGGCUCAACCGUAAAAUUGCAGUUGAAACUGGCAGUCUUGAGUACAGUAGAGGUGGGCGGAAUUCGUGGUGUAGCGGUGAAAUGCUUAGAGAUCACGAAGAACUCCGAUUGCGAAGGCAGUUCACUGGACUGCAACUGACACUGAGGCGCGAAAGUGUGGGUAUCAAACAGGAUUAGAUACCCGGGUAGUC
rnacentral:rRNA from 1 species